rnacentral:rRNA from 1 species
UACGUAGGUGGCGAGCGUUGUCCGGAUUUACUGGGCGUAAAGGGAGCGUAGGCGGACUUUUAAGUGAGAUGUGAAAUACUCGGGCUCAACUUGAGUGCUUCAUUUCAAACUGGAAGUCUAGAGUGCAGGAGAGGAGAAUGGAAUUCCUAGUGUAGCGGUGAAAUGCGUAGAGAUUAGGAAGAACACCAGUGGCGAAGGCGAUCCUCUGGACUGUGACUGACGCUGAGGCUCGAAAGCGUGGGGAGCAAACAGG